rnacentral:rRNA from 1 species
CAUAGCGGAGGAAAGAACCAACAGGGAUUGCCCUAGUAACGGCGAGUGAAGCGGCAACAGCUCAAAUUUGAAAUCUGGCUCUCGGGCCCGAGUUGUAAUUUGUAGAGGAUGUUUUUGAUGCGGUGCCUUCCGAGUUCCCUGGAACGGGACGCCAUAGAGGGUGAGAGCCCCGUCUGGUUGGAUGCCAAAUCUCUGUAAAACUCCUUCAACGAGUCGAGUAGUUUGGGAAUGCUGCUCUAAAUGGGAGGUAUAUGUCUUCUAAAGCUAAAUACCGGCCAGAGACCGAUAGCGCACAAGUAGAGUGAUCGAAAGAUGAAAAGCACUUUGAAAAGAGAGUUAAAAAGUACGUGAAAUUGUUGAAAGGGAAGCGUUUGUGACCAGACUUGGACUUGGUUAAUCAUCUGGGGUUCUCCCCAGUGCACUUCUCCAGUUCAAGGCCAGCAUCAGUUUUCGCCGGGGGAUAAAGGCUUUGGGAAUGUGGCUCCCCUCGGGGAGUGUUAUAGCCCAUUGUGUAAUACCCUGGCGGGGACUGAGGUUCGCGCAUCUGCAAGGAUGCUGGCGUAAUGGUCAUCAACGACCCGUCUUGAAACACGGACCAAGGAGUCGUCUUCGUAUGCGAGUGUUCGGGUGUCAAACCCCUACGCGUAAUGAAAGUGAACGCAGGUGAGAGCUUCGGCGCAUCAUCGACCGAUCCUGAUGUUCUCGGAUGGAUUUGAGUAAGAGCAUACGGGGCCGGACCCGAAAGAAGGUGAACUAUGCCUGUAUAGGGUGAAGCCAGAGGAAACUCUGGUGGAGGCUCGCAGCGGUUCUGACGUGCAAAUCGAUCGUCAAAUAUGGGCAUGGGGGCGAAAGACUAAUCG